UACGGAAGGGGCUAGCGUUGUUCGGAUUUACUGGGCGUAAAGCGCAAGUAGGCGGCGGACCUAGUUAGGCGUGAAAGCCCUGGGGUCAACCCGGGAAUAGCGCUUAAGACUGGUUUGCUGGAGUCCGGGAGAGGGUGGUGGAACUCCCAGUGUAGAGGUGAAAUUCGUCGAUAUUGGGAAGAACACCGGUGGCGAAGGCGGCCACCUGGACCGGUACUUACGCUGAGGUGCUAAAUCGUGGGUAGCAAACAGG
rnacentral:rRNA from 1 species